rnacentral:lncRNA from 1 species
UCUCUCUCUCUCACACACACACACACAAAUAAAUAUAAACAAUCUGCCUAUACAUAUUAUAUACAUAUAUAUAUAUAUGUUUGUGUGUCUGCAUAUAUGUCAUAUAUUUAUAAAAUGUAAAAUGUUUUAAAACAGAUGAAACUAGAUGAUAGCGUUGGAGUUUGGAGAAUUGUUUCUGAAGAGGAUUGUUUGGGUUGCCAGUUAUUCUCAGAUCUCUUCUUGGAGAAGCAAGAGGCCUCCAGAUUGCAAAGGCAAGCCUGUCACUGGGGGCUGAGUGUCUAUAUCAGACAACCGAGGCUGUCUUUGUAAUAACAAGGAAAGAAGUGAGGCCAUGAACUGCUUAUAAUGUGUUCUGUGCCUCUGUCUUACUCUUCUACUGCUAUGACAAAGCCAUAACCAAGGCAGUUUAUAAAGUAGCCCAUAUCAUUGGGUACUUGCUUCGAAUUUCAGAGGAUGAGUCAUGGUGGGGAACAUCCCAGCAGGCUCCAGGCAAGCAGUGGGCUGGCAGGAAGGUAGGUAGGCAUUGGAGCUGUAGCUAAGAGCUUACAUCAUGAUCCAUAGGAAAAGGCAGAGAGAAGGUUAUCUGGGAAUCCCAUGGGCUUUUAAAGUCUCAAAGUGACUCCCAGUGACACACCUCCUCCAACAAAGCCAGAUUUCCUAAUCCUUUCAAACAGUUCCACCAACUGGGGACCAAGCACUCAAAUAUGAACCUGUGGGGGCCACUCUCAUUCACACCACCACAGCCUUGCAAUUAUUUAUCUGGUAUCUCCUUCAAAAAGACUUUUACCCACCCAGUUCCUAUUGCUAACAUUCCUUAUCUCCAUUUUAUAUUCAUUCAUUCCAAAAAUAGAAGUGGAGGUCCUAUUUUACACACAGUGAGAAGAAAUGACUUCUGUUAAGCCUUCUUCCAUGUAGAAGGAACAAUAAGCAAGUUCCUAGAAUAAGAACCCUUUCGAUACUAUUGGUGUAGGAUGGGGCUUAGCUCACAGUAGGAAGGGUAGCAAUAGACUCAGAUCACCCAAGGCCUACAUAAUCUAAUCUACCCAACAUCCACAUAAUCUAAGGUCACAGAGGCCAUCUUGGGCUAAGCCUCACCUCAGCUCAGUGGAAGAAUACUGGCCUGGCAUUUGUGAGAUUAGGUUCAGCUCCCAGUACCAAAGGGCAUGGGGUGAGGGUGAAGGGUGCAGUGGCUUUUAUCUAUCCAUCCACCCGUCUGUCUGUCUGCCUCUCCGUCUACUGUGAAGGGUAGUAAGGUAGGAAGGGACUAAACAACAGCCAUACCUCACAUUUUGAGGACAUCACACUUUCUGCCUGAGUAGACAGACUGUGGAGCAUGAGACUAAAAGUAGGAAGGCCAUUUUGGCAGCUGUUAGAAUAUGCUUAGACACAGCACACACAGGGCAGGGUGAUCUCUUGCACCUUUUCCUUCUCUCUCACACCGCUUAACCACACUCAGUUCUUCCCACCAUUUUAAUAGAAAAACUAGCAAAUUGGAUGUCACAAAAAUUAAAACCUUUAACAGGCAAGUGUAGUGACUCACACCUUUGUUCAGAUUGAUCUUCAGCCUGGUUUACAUGUUAAGACCCUGUUGCAAAAGAAAGAAAGAAAGGAAAGGAAAGGAAAGAAAAG